GAUCCUGGCUCAGGAUGAGCGCUAGCUACAGGCUUAACACAUGCAAGUCGAGGGGCAGCAUGGUCUUAGCUUGCUAAGACUGAUGGCGACCGGCGCACGGGUGAGUAACACGUAUCCAACCUGCCGUCUACUCUUGGACAGCCUUCUGAAAGGAAAAUUAAUACAAGAUGGCAUCAUGAGUCCGCAUGUUCACAUGAUUAAAGGUAUUCCGGUAGACGAUGGGG
rnacentral:rRNA from 1 species